rnacentral:rRNA from 1 species
AACGAACGCUGGCGGCAGGCUUAACACAUGCAAGUCGAGCGCCCCGCAAGGGGAGCGGCAGACGGGUGAGUAACGCGUGGGAAUCUACCCAUCUCUACGGAAUAACGCAUGGAAACGUGUGCUAAUACCGUAUACGUCCUUCGGGAGAAAGAUUUAUCGAAGAUGGAUGAGCCCGCGUUGGAUUAGCUAGUUGGUGGGGUAAAGGCCUACCAAGGCGACGAUCCAUAGCUGGUCUGAGAGGAUGAUCAGCCACACUGGGACUGAGACACGGCCCAGACUCCUACGGGAGGCAGCAGUGGGGAAUAUUGGACAAUGGGCGCUAGCCUGAUCCAGCCAUGCCGCGUGAGUGAUGAAGGCCCUAGGGUUGUAAAGCUCUUUCACCGGUGAAGAUAAUGACGGUAACCGGAGAAGAAGCCCCGGCUAACUUCGUGCCAGCCGCCGCAGUAACAC